UACAGAUCAUCCUGCUGAGCUUGACUCAACCUGCUAACUCUUGAGCAAAAUGAGCAGACUCAAGCCCCUUUGUUCAGAGGAGAGAGCAGAGCGCUGAGGCAAAAUUCAGACCCUCUGGGAACAGGAUAAGGACCUGCUUAAGUUCUGUGGUGCUUUCACUAAGGCUCCUCACAAGCAGGCUGCGGUGGCGUCUGUGACCUUGGCAGGAUUGCAGAGGUGGUUUGGAGGCCCUCAUCGAGCCUGGCCGAGGAUGGAGCCAUACACACAGCUCCACUGCUGUUGCUGCCUGCCAGGGGGAUGAGCAGGAGGCUGGACAGCCCCUCAGGACAGCAGGAGUGUCCAUCAUGGCCUCAUCCGGCCUUGCUGCGGGUGGGCUGCAGAGCACAGAAGGUUCCAGCUAUCCGCUCCCUAACCUCCUGACAUGCACAUGGAGAGGCAGGAUGUAGCCCGUGGAAGGAACCGGCUGUGUUUUCACUGCACAAGGACAUCACACUCUGGCCUGCGUUUCUCAGCAGUCAAGUAUGUGCCUGGUGGGCUGGCUCCAAAGCUGUCUCUAGCAGCAGGGCUGGUCUGCUCCCUGCAGCCGCCGUGCUCAGCUCCUCCCCAAGCCCAGCCCUCCUCUCACGGCGUGCCAUGGAGCGCACAGACAGCCAUGCAGGACCUCACGGUUGAGCCUUCAUCCCAAAAACUCUCCUACCACCCACUCAGAGCAAACUCAUUUUGUUUGCCUAACGAGAACAAAGGGCUGAGCCAGGUAACCUUGCCAAGCGUACAGCCAGGAUUGGAGAUGUUCACAUCCCAUCUAUAACACCUGAACCCACCCAUUCAGCUAAUCCCUACACAGCUAUCAUAAAUCAUCCUGUGUCACAGGCAUCAAAGGGGCACUGCUUCACCUUUACCAACUUACAAAAU